CUGCAUCAAGCCUCGAAGUCAAAACAUGAAAAUUAUUUGUGAGUUUCAAUUUAUCAGGGCACAUUAUGUCUUAAAGGGUUAGUGCUGCCCACAAUAUGGUAAAAAGUAUAAACAGUAAAACUUUGCUAGCUUGAGCUUGAAGGAUUCCAAUCCAAACCCUUGUAGAGUUUACAUAUUGUAUGUUUAUGAUGUUAUGGUUUGUAAUCCAAGUGAGAAUAUAUACAUUUUAAGACCUAACCAGGAACGACUGCGAAAAAUGCAGUACAAGGUCAUUUGGUAGGAAUUGAACCCACAGCCCUGCGAUUCCGGUGCAGCACUCUAACCAACUGAUAUUAAUUCCAGCAAGUGAAGUGCAAGAAUCUAAGUUAUUCAAGUCCACCUUUACAUAUUGUAUGUGCCUGUUUACAUGUAUGUGAUAAUGGCAUGGCUGGACAGGAGGUUUUAAUCCAGUCUUGCUGAGAAACCUGGCUAAGCAAAAUAGACGGGAUACAUGCACCCCAUCUGGCAGGGAUGAUAGAGUGCUUACUGUAUAUGAGAAUUUCACGUCUUGGCAGGUGGGAUCCCGGCAACAAGUAAUGAGGUCUCACCUAAGCCAAAUAGAGGUAGAAUCAUUCAUUUUAUUGUAAACACUCUAAAUAGAGUUCAUAUUGCAGGAGGGAUCAUAAAACUAGUAUUCUUUUUACAAGUGCUGACAUCUUGUAUUUUUGUUGCCAGCAUACCUAUUACAGCCAACUUACAGACAAGGGAAAGCUGCUUAAAAUUACUACAUGGUGAGAUUCUUAUAGAGAUUCCUUAUAGGUAGAUUUUACCCUAGAAUAUUGACUUAGAUGAUUACUCAUUAGAGUGAGUUGAAUACUGGGUUGAUGCCAAAUUAUUGUCUUCUGUCUAUCAAGACUCAAGUGGAGAGUGCUAAUGUAUUGAUGGUCAUUUAUAAGACAAAUCAUAAAUUAAUCUAGCUUUCUUUGUAUUACAUGCACAUUGGCUUUUUAUCACAUUUCUGGUAGCCAAUGCUGAAUGAACAAAAUCCAUGGAUUGAGUUGCAUUGCAUCUUGAUGCACCCCGCUUUAUUAUUUUACCCUGUCUAAUGCCAGACGAUUUUACUUGUCAAGGGGAGAACACUGGUACUUACUGGAUUAAAGACAAUAAAAUAGGGACGUAGGCACAUUACCUCAUUAAUCACCAGCACUCCCACUCACAAAUAUGUCUGGCAAUCGACAUUAGACAGGAAUACAAUAAAGUAGGAGUGCAAUGCAACUUCAUGGGUUAACAUUUUCCUGUGUGACCAUGAUUUCUGGGUAGUGAUGCACCAACUAAAUUGAAAUGUCAGUAAUUUGAUGUCAUCUUUGAAUUUUGUGUAAUGACAUGGAAUAUCGGUGUCAGUAUCUGAAAAAUAUCAGUCUUUCAGUAUCGGUUAUCGGAAUAUCAGUGAACCUUACACGACUAUUUCUGGGUUAGCAUGUUACUAGCUAUAAUUUGGUCUAAGGUUGGAGCCAUAGUCAUAGUGAAUCAAAUUUUUCCUAUGAAAACAAAUAUUAAUUAAAUAAUCUAUCUGUAAUUAUUCAUUAUGUAGGAUGGAGUUUACAAUGCGAUAAAGAAUCUUUGAACAUGGUAGAUGCUUACUAAAAUGCAAGGGUGAUGUUGUCGGUACCGUACAGUAUUUGUGAUCUAAUAUGCUACUGGCUCGUUCCUGAUUCCAGAAAACAUUCAUGGUUUUACCUCAGUUUACUUGUUUAACCCAUUAUGUGACAGCACUGGCAAGUAAAACAAUAAGACAUUAUGAUAUUCAUAUAUACAGUAAAUGUGUUGCUGUGCAUGCAUAUUUUACACAUAAUUUUUUGUAGUGACUAGUGGUGGGUAUUGUCACACCAAAGUGCCCAGCAUCUUGUAAAUAUUUUAAUGUAAUGUUUAACUUGUAAUGUUUAACUUGUAAUUGUAAUUAACAUGUAAAUACACC
rnacentral:lncRNA from 1 species